rnacentral:rRNA from 1 species
UGGGGAAUAUUGGGCAAUGGGCGAAAGCCUGACCCAGCAACGCCGCGUGAGGGAAGAAGGGUUUCGGCUCGUAAACCUCUGUCCUAUGGGACGAAGGAAGUGACGGUACCAUAGGAGGAAGCCCCGGCUAACUACGUGCCAGCAGCCGCGGUAAUACGUAGGGGCGAGCGUUGUCCGGAAUGAUUGGGCGUAAAGGGCGCGUAGGCGGCCUGCUAAGUCUGGAGUGAAAGUCCUGCUUUCAAGGUGGGAAUUGCUUUGGAUACUGGUGGGCUGGAGUGCAGGAGAGGAAAGCGGAAUUACCGGUGUAGCGGUGAAAUGCGUAGAGAUCGGUAGGAACACCAGUGGCGAAGGCGGCUUUCUGGACGAAACUGACGCUGAGGCGCGAAAGCGUGGGGAGCAAACAGGAUUAGAUACCC